rnacentral:rRNA from 1 species
CGCCUGGGGAGUACGGCCGCAAGGUUAAAACUCAAAUGAAUUGACGGGGGCCCGCACAAGCGGUGGAGCAUGUGGUUUAAUUCGACGCAACGCGAAGAACCUUACCUGGCCUUGACAUCCAGAGAGCUUUCCAGAGAUGGAUUGGUGCCUUCGGGAACUCUGAGACAGGUGCUGCAUGGCCGUCGUCAGCUCGUGUCGUGAGAUGUUGGGUUUAGUCCCAUAACGAGCGCAACCCCUAUCCCUGGUUGCUAGCAGGUAAUGCUGAGAACUCCAGGGAGACUGCCGGUGACAAACCGGAGGAAGGUGGGGAUGACGUCAGGUCAUCAUGGCCCUUACGGCCAGGGCUACACACGUGCUACAAUGGCGCGUACAGAGGGCUGCCAACUCGCGAGAGUGAGCCAAUCCCUUAAAACGCGUCGUAGUCCGGAUCGGAGUCUGCAACUCGACUCCGUGAAGUCGGAAUCGCUAGUAAUCGCGAAUCAGAAUGUCGCGGUGAAUACGUUCCCGGGCCUUGUACACACCGCCCGUCACACCAUGGGAGUGGAUUGCACCAGAAGUAGUUAGUCUAACCUUCGGGAGGACGAUUACCACGGUGUGGUUCAUGACUGGGGUGAAGUCGUAACAAGGUAACCGUA